rnacentral:lncRNA from 1 species
UGACAAAUAAACAGACUUAUCUGGCAUAUCACCAUCUAACAGGGGAAACUGGAGAGACGAGGACAAAUUUGGUAUUGUGGUGGUCUGCAAAGGAGGACCCGUUCACUCCCAAAGGUUGUCAGCUGCUGUGCUGGAGCAAGGGUCUGUUCCACUGGAAGAGAGGAAAGGAUGAAAGAAAGAAAAAUCACUGAGACGUGCCUACAAGACAGAAACAUGCAAUAUCGUAUUUCCUUGUCCUACUGUAAUCCAUAAAGAUAGAGUAAUUUGUAUUUUAUUUAGUAAGCUCUGACUCACUCCAUUGCUUGAGUAGAAUGUGAAUCAGUAAGGACAUGUUCUACAGCUCGAAGUGAGUGCCUUUCUUUGCUCCCAGAUCAUGUUAAAUAUUUGUAGUA